rnacentral:rRNA from 1 species
UACGAGGGGGGCGAGCGUUGUUCGGAAUUAUUGGGCGUAAAGGGUGCGUAGGCGGCCUGACAAGUCUGAUGUGAAAUCCCUGGGCUCAACCCAGGGCCUGCAUCGGAAACUGUCGGGCUUGAGUAUGGGAGAGGUGAGUGGAAUUUCCGGUGUAGCGGUGAAAUGCGUAGAUAUCGGAAGGAACACCUGUGGCGAAAGCGGCUCACUGGACCAUUACUGACGCUGAGGCACGAAAGCUAGGGGAGUAAACAGG